AUACGGAGGAUCCGAGCGUUAUCCGGAUUUAUUGGGUUUAAAGGGUGCGUAGGCGGACUUAUAAGUCAGCGGUGAAAGUUUGCAGCUUAACUGUAAAAUUGCCGUUGAAACUGUUAGUCUUGAGUGUAAAUGAGGUAGGCGGAAUGUGUUGUGUAGCGGUGAAAUGCUUAGAUAUAACACAGAACACCAAUUGCGAAGGCAGCUUACUGGGAUACAACUGACGCUGAGGCACGAAAGCGUGGGGAUCAAACAGGAUUAGAUACCCUGGUAGUCCACGCAGUAAACGAUGAAUACUAACUGUAUGCGAUAUACUGUAUGCGGUACAGCGAAAGCGUUAAGUAUUCCACCUGGGGAGUACGUUCGCAAGAAUGAA
rnacentral:rRNA from 1 species